GACGAACGCUGGCGGCGUGCUUAACACAUGCAAGUCGAACGAGAACGCCCGGUCUUUUGGGGCACGGGUGCGGAACGCGGGGUAACCUACCCUUAGGUUCGCAAUAACUCACCGAAGGGGGACCUAAUACCGGAUAGGGUCUUCGCGCCAACGAUUUAUCGCCUUUGGAUGGGCCCGCGUUGGAUUCGCUAGUUGGUAGUGUAAAAGCCGACCAACGCGUCGAUCCAUAGCUGGUCUGAGAGCAUGAUCCGCCACGCUGGCAAUGAGACACGGCCCAGACUCCUACGGGAGGCAGAAGUAGAGAAUAUUGGACAAUGAGGGAAAGCCUACGACCGCAAUGCCGCGUAAGUGAUGAAGGCCGUAGUAUUGUACAGCUCUUUUACCCGGGAUGAUAAUGACAGUACCGGGUAAAUAAGCUCCGGCUAACUACGUG
rnacentral:rRNA from 1 species